rnacentral:lncRNA from 1 species
CCCAAUCUGCACUAAGGUCCUAUUUUAGUGUGUUGUGGUAGUGCAAUAGGCGCAUAAACAACCUAACCAAAAACUCGUAAAUGUGAAAUGUUUGGCUGAUGCCCAAACACGAGUUAUAUUGAUGAGUAUUAGUGGUUGGCUAUAGGUCUUAAUCGAACCAAUGAUGCAGCAUGUAAGAUGGCAUAUCCCCAUGUAGAGAUUGGCAAUUUUAUUUUCAUAAGCAUAGUGCGAGCUAUUAAUUGAAGCUGCUUGAUAAAUGCCUCUG